CGUGUGAAAAACUCCGGUGGUAUGAGAUGGACCCGCGUCUGAUUAGCUAGUUGGUGGGGUAACGGCCUACCAAGGCACGAUCAGUAGCCGACCUGAGAGGGUGACCGGCCACAUUGGGACUGAGACACGGCCCAAACUCCUACGGGAGGCAGCAUG
rnacentral:rRNA from 1 species